CCUACGGGGGGCAGCAGUGAGGAAUAUUGGUCAAUGGGCGUAAGCCUGAACCAGCCAAGUCGCGUGAGGGAUGAAGGUUCUAUGGAUCGUAAACCUCUUUUAUAAGGGAAUAAAGUGUGGGACGUGUCCUAUUUUGUAUGUACCUUAUGAAUAAGGAUCGGCUAACUCCGUGCCAGCAGCCGCGGUAAUACGGAGGAUCCGAGCGUUAUCCGGAUUUAUUGGGUUUAAAGGGUGCGUAGGCGGCAUUUUAAGUCAGCGGUGAAAGUCUGUGGCUCAACCAUUGCAUUGCCGUUGAAACUGGGGGGCUUGAGUAUGUGUGAGGCAGGCGGAAUGCGUGGUGUAGCGGUGAAAUGCUUAGAUAUCACGCAGAACCCCGAUUGCGAAGGCAGCCUGCCAGGCCAUGACUGACGCUGAUGCACGAAAGCGUGGGGAUCAAACAGGAUUAGAUACCCUUGUAGUC
rnacentral:rRNA from 1 species